CUACAAGUUUUGAUAUCUGCCAAAUAAAAUUCUUUUAGAAAGUCGGCGAUUUAUUUUUCGAGAUUCUGCUUAACAGUUAUGGAUUUAAGUUCAAAUUGUGAUCUAAAACAACUGCGUGCUUGCUUGUUUGGUUCAAUGGUUAAAACACCACAAGAGUUUUUAAUGUUUGGCUGUGAUAAUUGUAAGAAUUAAAACCAAUAAUUGGUGACAGAAGAGCGGUUAUCCAAUUCACCACUAAGAAUUUCAAGAGGUUAGUAGGAAGUAUGGAGCCUACUAAAACUCGUAUAGGGAAACUCUUGGAAAUUGACAAGUUGGUACCCGGAAUUUAUGCACUCACCAUAAAAGAUGCAUUGUCAAAUGAAUAUUUAAAAACUUAUUGAAGAACGCUAUCGCAACUAUCCAACGA